AAAAAAGAUAAAUCUGGAUUUCCAUGUCUAACGUUUGACUGUUCAUUUUAUUUUAAAAAAUAUAAAAAAAAUUAAAAAUACAAGUCAUACAUAAAGUAUUAAUCAUGUUUUAUCAUCUGACAAUAAUGAAAAUACUAAUAUAAAAAUAAUUUAUAUAAUACGGACAGUCAAAUGUUGGACACGGAAACCCAUGGUUUGUUUUUUU
rfam:Oryza nivara chromosome 5, whole genome shotgun sequence.